GUAGUGCAUGAGCAUGUAACCACACCUAUUACGGAGUCUUUUGUGGGAUUAUGUACACAAAGCAUUUGCACUGUUCCACAGCCAGCUGC